rnacentral:rRNA from 1 species
CUACGGGCCGCAGCAGUGGGGAAUAUUGCACAAUGGGGGAAACCCUGAUGCAGCAACGCCGCGUGGAGGAUGACGCAUUUCGGUGUGUAAACUCCUUUUAUAUAGGAAGAUAAUGACGGUACUAUAUGAAUAAGCACCGGCUAACUCCGUGCCAGCAGCCGCGGUAAUACGGAGGGUGCAAGCGUUACUCGGAAUCACUGGGCGUAGAGCGCGCGCAGGCGGCCCCUUAAGUUGGAUGUGAAAGCCUACGGCUUAACCGUAGAACUGCAUCCAAAACUGAGGGGCUAGAGUCUGGGAGGGGAAGAUGGAAUUAGUUGUGUAGGGGUAAAAUCCGUAGAGAUAACUAGGAAUACCAAAAGCGAAGGCGAUCUUCUGGAACAGUACUGACGCUGAGGCGCGAAAGCGUGGGGAGCAAACAGGAUUAGAUACCCCCGUAGUC